GUGCUCACUUAACCAGCAUAUAUAAGAAAAUCGAAACGCAACACAGAACAUUAGCACGACCCCUGCGCAAGGAUGACAUGCAAAUUUGGGAAGCAUUCCAUAUUUCU